GCGCCGGAGGGCCUGCGGUCGCCUCAGCCCCACCCUGGGACGGCGUGCUCCCUCCCCUCGCUGCUCACCUUGGUUCCCAAGAGCCGGGCGGCCGCAAGACUAACCAGCAGACCACAGGACUGAACUUCAGUGCCCCAGGAUGAGACUACCAAAGGGACAAUUAUUGAGAGGCCACAGGAUCAUCUGUCUUGGAGCUUUAGUGAUUGGGUGGGGAACAGCAAUGCUCUAAGCCUCUCGACACUGGGUCCCAGAGCCCCUAGUGCCAUGGGGACUUUAUGGACUUGUUUUGAAGUUGUCCAAUCCUGACAUCGACUGCUAUAAGGGCAAUUGGAAAGCACAGGAUCAAAGCGGCUAACUGGCAUCUCCCAGGAGCUGGCCUAGAUUCCUUCUCAACACUGAUGGGACCUGGGGAGGUUGGAGAGAAUGUUAAGGAAGAAAGAUUGGCAUGAAUAAAGCAGCCAAGUGAGCUCUAGGUCCAGGUAUAACUAAGUGCUUGGGAACUUGAAGGGGCAAGGGAGAGAAGGCUGAGAAUUUAGGUUGUUGUGACCUUGGGAGGACCUCUUUAAAGUGUAGGGAGGCAAUAGCACCCCCUAGUGGCAAAGGACAAGUGGGCUAAUAAAAUCUAAAUUUAAACCCUUAAACUACAAGGUAAACCAAACGCCUCUAUUUAAUAGAUAAUAGCUAAAACUUAAACUGGAGGAUCCCUUACUAUUUGCAGAUACUAUCUAAAUGUGGAACAUGCAUUAUCUUUUUUUUUUUUUUUUUUUUUUUGGAGAUAGAGUCUUGUUCUGUUGCCCAGCCUGGAGUGCAGUG
rnacentral:lncRNA from 10 species